UACGAAGGGGGCUAGCGUUGCUCGGAAUCACUGGCGUAAAGGGUGCGUAGGCGGGUCUUUAAGUCAGGGGUGAAAUCCUGGAGCUCAACUCCAGAACUGCCUUUGAUACUGAAGAUCUUGAGUUCGGGAGAGGUGAGUGGAACUGCGAGUGUAGAGGUGAAAUUCGUAGAUAUUCGCAAGAACACCAGUGGCGAAGGCGGCUCACUGCCCGAUACUGACGCUGAGGCACGAAAGCGUGGGGAGCAAACAGG
rnacentral:rRNA from 1 species